CUAUCUAUGGCUUACAAGGAUUGUGUUACAAUUUUGAACAGAAAGAGACCACGCCGAAGGAGGAACAGAAACAGAAGUAGAAGUAGAAGAUAAAGAACAAGAAGCCUUUGAUUGCCUUUAAUAAUAGAAAUAUCAUCUCCGUACAAGCCUAAAAACCCUUUUUUUUUUUUUUUGUUGCAAAAGAAUACAGGCAGAUAGAGGAAAGAAUCAAAGAUAGACCUCGAAGUCGAGUUCACCUAUGAAGGCACAGACUGUGAUGAAGAAGUGGGAGGAUGAGGAGUGGAGUAGAAUUUGGAGUUUUUAAUGAAGAAUAAGGCUUUCAACAAAGGAGGAAGAGGGAUGGAAGAGAGGUGGGGGUUUUGCUUGAGAUGUCUCAAAGGCUUCUUGACAUGAGGGUAUCUUUAUAACUAUUGACUUCUUCUCGUUCUCUCUCUCUCUCUCUCUCCUGUUGAUCGCUUUUCUAGCUCCUCGUCGUCCAUCUCCAUUUUCCUUUCUCCCCUUUCUUUCUAUACACUGCAAAAGGCUUCAAAUCAAUUGCCUCUCUCUCUCUCUCUCUCGUCUUUGAGCAAGUCUGGAUUAAUUAGUUGAACUUGAGCCAGUCUGUCGAAACAGGUUUAAGAAAUAGCAGUCAAAUUUCACACUACCAGUGGUUUAGUCGAUGCCGGUGGUUUGAAAUUUGGAUGAGAGAAAAAGACGACCAAGAGAGGAGAGAGACGGAGAGGGCUAGAAGAGAAGAAAUGUGUAGAGGAAGAGGCGUGGGGAAAAACCCUACUCGGUUGGUGUGAAAUUCGUACAAGCUUAAGGGCAUCAUUACCAACUUAAGGAAGGAUUUCUCCAACAAAGACCAGGAAAUACAAUAGAAGAAGUUGGAGAGAGCUACUUCGAUUAGCUUAUCAACAGAAGCUUAAUUCAAAUUGUAGAAACAACCAGUGAUGGGAGAGCCAAAGUUGCAGAAUCCAUGACCUUCGGUACGAAUUUAUUCUUGCAGAGUCAAGGGACCAAAAUAUUUCAGCAACAUUUGAUGUUGAUGGUAAUGUUAUAAUGAACAAACCAGAAGAUCAGACGCCUAUCAAUCCAUAGGAGUUAUUGUGGAAAAGUAGCAAAAAGAGAGAACCUUGUGUACCAUUCUAUCUUCAUGUUCCAAGUAGCUACACUACCCAACGUAACUCAUUUACCAGAACACUCUUCUAUGGUUGCAGGCUUCUGAAGGCGUUGGAUUUGAGAGGUUCCGGUAUUGAGUUGCUUCCAGAUGAAUUUAUCAACCUGUUCCAUUUAAGGUAUUUAAAGUCUGAGGUAUACCAAAAUCUAGAUACUCCCUAACUCUAUUGAGAAGCUUAGCCUAGAGACGUGAUCUCAAACAUGCCUAUGUAUCUUGAUUAUCAAUUGGAAUACUAAAGCUUCAAAAUCUGAGACACAUUCUUGUUUA